rnacentral:misc_RNA from 1 species
GAUGAAGAACGCAGCGAAAUGCGAUAAGUAAUGUGAAUUGCAGAAUUCAGUGAAUCAUCGAAUCUUUGAACGCACAUUGCGCCCAUUAGCAUUCUAGUGGGCAUGCCUGUUCGAGCGUCAUUUCAACCCUUAAGCCCUGUUGCUUAGCGUUGGGAGCCUACAGUACUGUAGCUCCCCAAAGUUAGUGGCGGAGUCGGUUUCACACUCUAGACGUAGUAAUUUUUUCUCGUCUGUAGUUGAGCCGGUCCCAUGCCGUAAAACACCCAAUUUAUCAAGGUUGACCUCGGAUCAGGUAGGAAUACCCGCUGAACUUAAGCAUAUCAAUAAGCGGAGGA